UNCCAUGUGUAGCGGUGAAAUGCGUAGAUAUAUGGAGGAACACCAGUGGCGAAAGCGGCUCUCUGGUCCGUCACUGACGCUGAGGCUCGAAAGCGUGGGUAGCGAACAGGAUUAGAUACCCUGGUAGUNCACGCCGUAAACGAUGAGUGCUAGGUGUUAGGCCCUUUCCGGGGCUUAGUGCCGGAGCUAACGCAAUAAGCACUCCGCCUGGGGAGUACGACCGCAAGGUUGAAACUCAAAGGAAUUGACGGGGGCCCGCACAAGCGGUGGAGCAUGUGGUUUAAUUCGAAGCAACGCGAAGAACCUUACCAGGUCUUGACAUCCCGAUGCUAUUCUUAGAGAUAGGAAGUUACUUCGGUACAUCGGAGACAGGUGGUGCAUGGUUGUCGUCAGCUCGUGUCGUGAGAUGUUGGGUUANNNNNNNNNNNCGAGCGCAACCCCUAUUGUUAGUUGCCAUCAUUAAGUUGGGCACUCUAGCGAGACUGCCGGUAAUAAACCGGAGGAAGGUGGGGAUGACGUCAAAUCAUCAUGCCCCUUAUGACCUGGGCUACACACGUGCUACAAUGGUCGGUACAACGAGUUGCGAGCCGGUGACGGCAAGCUAAUCUCUGAAAGCCGAUCUCAGUUCGGAUUGGAGGCUGCAACUCGCCUCCAUGAAGUCGGAAUCGCUAGUAAUCGCGGAUCAGCACGCCGCGGUGAAUACGUUCCCGGGCCU
rnacentral:rRNA from 1 species